UGCUGAGCAGCAUGGAUGCUUUGAAGGGAAAAUGACAGAUCAAGGCAAUCAGACAUCAAUCAAGGUGUGAAAGCCAGAGGAUCUCCUUGGCAGAACAUUAAGAAUAAGAGUACAUUAACCAGGCUCAGGUCCUAAUCAAAGAGUAGUAGAUUGACCACCAGGGGCUGCUACAGAGUAGCAUUCCUGGGAACCAGGCAACAAGAAGAAAAGAAAAAUCCUUCAGCUUGACCCGAAGAACUGCAGAGUCUGAGAGUCAUGCUCAUUACUAUACCACCCGGAGGUCUCACACCACAGAUUUCAGCAGAUGUCUCUGGCCUUUGGUGAGGACUGUGCCUUGCCACAAGGGUGGAGCUGCCUGGAAUCAGUGCAAGCGUGAGGCUGAUGUUCACACCUAAAUGUGGCAUCUUGGAAUCCCUGGACAUUGAGCUCAGGCUGUGUCACAGCUGACAAUUUUCACAGCUACUCUGCCAGGAGCUGGAAAGCAUGGGGCCAGAAUGGAAGAUUCUUAUCUAGGCUUUUAAUUCCUUUUUUCUGGUGACUUCCCAUACACUGAGACUUACUUCCAAUAUAUCUUUAAUGGUCUCAGCACAUUCUAGAAAAAAAAAAAAAAAUAGCAGCAGCAGCUGGAUAGACUAGAAAAUUAUUUCUAUCCUUAAAACACACCCCAGGCCAAACUCUUCAU